rnacentral:rRNA from 1 species
AGAGUUUGAUCCUGGCUCAGGAUGAACGCUAGCGAUAGGCUUAACACAUGCAAGUCGAGGGGUAACGUGUUGGAAGCUUGCUUCCGAUGACGACGACCGGCGGAUGGGUGCGUAACGCGUAUGCAACUUGCCUCACAGAGGAGAAUAACCCGGAGAAAUCCGGACUAAUGCUCUAUACACUCUUUAGCACGCCUGUGCGUAAGAGGAAAGAUUUAUCGCUGUGAGAUAGGCAUGCGUCCUAUUAGGUAGUUGGUGAGGUAACGGCUCACCAAGCCGACGAUAGGUAGGGGUGCUGAGAGGCAGAUCCCCCACAUUGGGACUGAGACACGGCCCAAACUCCUACGGGAGGCAGCAGUGAGGAAUAUUGGUCAAUGGAGGAAACUCUGAACCAGCCAAGUCGCGUGAAGGAAGAAUGUCCUAAGGAUUGUAAACUUCUUUAGCGAGUGAGUAAGGACUUCCACGCGUUGGGAGUUUGAAAGUAGCUCGAGAAUAAGUAUCGGCUAACUCCGUGCCAGCAGCCGCGGUAAUACGGAGGAUACGAGCGUUAUCCGGAUUUAUUGGGUUUAAAGGGUGCGCAGGUGGUCCUGCAAGUCAGUGGUGAAAAGCUGAGGCUCAACCUCAGCCUUGCCGUUGAAACUGCAAGACUUGAGAGUACAUGAUGUGGGCGGAAUGCGUAGUGUAGCGGUGAAAUGCAUAGAUAUUACGCAGAACUCCGAUUGCGAAGGCAGCUCACAAAGGUAUGUCUGACACUGAGGCACGAAAGCGUGGGGAGCAAACAGGAUUAGAUACCCUGGUAGUCCACGCCGUAAACGAUGAUUACUCGAAGUUACGCCGGCAACGGUGAAACUCAAAGGAAUUGACGGGGGCCCGCACAAGCGGAGGAACAUGUGGUUUAAUUCGAUGAUACGCGAGGAACCUUACCCGGGAUUGAAAUGUAUGUGCGCCUCUUGGGAAACCGAGAGGGUUCUCUUCGGAGACACAUAUGUAGGUGCUGCAUGGUUGUCGUCAGCUCGUGCCGUGAGGUGUCGGCUUAAGUGCCAUAACGAGCGCAACCCUUAUCGUCAGUUACUAACAGGUCAUGCUGAGGACUCUGGCGAGACUGCCGUCGUAAGGCGAGAGGAAGGUGGGGAUGACGUCAAAUCAGCACGGCCCUUACAUCCGGGGCGACACACGUGUUACAAUGGUAGGGACAGAGAGUAGCCACUCGGCGACGAGGAGCGGAUCUUGAAACCCUAUCUCAGUUCGGAUCGGAGUCUGCAACUCGACUCCGUGAAGCCGGAUUCGCUAGUAAUCGCGCAUCAGCCAUGGCGCGGUGAAUACGUUCCCGGGCCUUGUACACACCGCCCGUCAAGCCAUGGAAGUUGGGGGUACCUGAAGUGCGUGACCGCAAGGAGCGUCCGAGGGUAAAUCCAGUGACUGGGGCUAAGUCGUAACAAGGUAGCCGUACCGGAAGGUGCGGCUG